rnacentral:rRNA from 1 species
UAAUACAGAGGUGGCAAGCGUUGUUCGGAAUUACUGGGCGUAAAGGGCGCGUAGGCGGCCCGUCAAGUCCCGUGUGAAAGCCCCCGGCUCAACCGGGGAACUGCACGGGAAACUAGCAGGCUUGAGUUCGGGAGAGGGAAGCGGAAUUUCGGGUGUAGCGGUGAAAUGCGCAGAUAUCCGAAGGAACACCGGUGGCGAAGGCGGCUUCCUGGACCGACACUGACGCUGAGGCGCGAAAGCUAGGGGAGCAAACGGGAUUAGAUACCCCGGUAGUCCUAGCCCUAAACGAUGAGAACUGGGUGUAGAGGGUAUGAACCCCCUCUGUGCCGAAGCUAACGCAUUAAGUUCUCCGCCUGGGGAGUACGGUCGCAAGGCUGAAACUCAAAUGAAUUGACGG